UGGGCCCAGGGCUGUGCAGGCGAGGCCCUCCAAACCCUGAACAGGCCUGGAACUCCUGCCUGGAGCCC
rnacentral:miRNA from 1 species